ACCGUGUAGUUAAAAUGACAGAAAACCCAACUCCAGUAACUGCAGUCACAAAUGGGAUGUAUUUAUCUCCAAACAACUAGAAUGUCAAGAGGUAGCAGAGACUGCAAGAACAGUUUGAUCAGGGUGUGGCCUCCUCUGCCCCUCCUUGUUUAUUAGGCACGUGGUUGGGUUGGCUCCUCUCAAGGUGGAAAGAUGGCAUCAGGUACACAUGCUUCUUCACCCCCAUCCAAGAAGAAAGAAUGUCAGCACAUAACCACUGAAACAAGUCCAGGCUUCCUCUGAUGGAACCAGUCAUUAUUACACGAGUAUCAACAACAAACGUUCAUUGAGCACUAAGCAGGUGCCAGACCCUCUUCAAACUCAGUUUGCUUUUGUUGAAUUGACUCUGGUAAUCCUUAUAAGAAGGGCAAUGGUACUACCCUGAUUUGUUUGUUCAACUGAAGCCAACACCGGAAGCUCAGGAAAGGUACAGAUGCCAACAGAGACCAAGUCGAGAAGCAUGCAGGUUUCUGGAAAUUUGUUCCCAAACGUGUGCCCAGCCUUCCUCCUGCACGGUAUACUGGCCUCUUAGGUCAAAUCUGGCCUCUUUAAUUCUGAUGCUUUUCUGACAUUUAUGUGGAAGCCUCUUAGCUUGUUCUGACUUGUGUGGAGCUACCUUCCCUCUUACUCCUGAUUCACAGGAAGAAAGGAGCCAUCAGAGACAGCCCGGCUCCCGGAGGCUCCGCGCCACGCUCCCUUUUGCCCGCCCGACUUCUGAGCGGAGCGCUCCGGAGGGAGGAGAACCGGCGAAUCCUCGCGGGCUCCGGGCGCUCGCGGACCGAGCCCGCCCCCACCCGCGCCCGGCCCCGUCACGUUGGCUGCAGAGCGCAUCCCGGCUGCGCCCCGGCGGGGAGGCGCCGAGGGUAGCUGAGGGGAGCGGGUCACGUGAGAGGAGGAGUCUGACCUACUUUCGCCGGCAGCCGGCGCAUGCGUAGUUCCGGGCUGCACGCCGGCCGGGAGGCUCACGUGGAGUCGCACGUGCAGGGUGCUCCCGUCCGGGGCCCGGGGCGGGGCGCGCGCUGGGCGGGGCGCGCGCAGGGAGGCGGGCUGGGGUUGCGGGACCCGUCGGCGGGUCUGGUCGACGGGCUGGAGCCAUCGGCGAGCGUGGGGUUCCCGCCACCCUGGGCCGGGUACCCGCAAUUUUGGAGAGCUGCUUCGGCGCCCUUGGGGGGCUUCCCACGAAUUCAUCGAAUUCAGUAUUUCUGAACGCAAAAAUUAAAACAGAGUUCCUGCACAUA